rnacentral:lncRNA from 1 species
AGCCACCGCGGCGACUUGGCGGCGGGUGCCAUGCGUCUGGAGCUUCACAUUCUCUGCCCCCCACCCACCGCGCCGGCGCUCCCUUGUCACGCCUCGGGAAGCGCGCACCUGCCAAGCAGGAUGAAUAAUCUGAUAUCAUGUGAAAUGAGGAAAUAAGAAGCUUUCUGCUGACUUCAUUUUGACCCAGGGUCCAAAAGGUGAUGUAAUCCUGUGGCAAGAAGAUUCAAAACUGUGGACUAUCUUGCAAAAAAUACAAGAAGAUAUUGAAAGUUUUCAUGAGUGCCUACCACCUAAUCUCAAACACUAUCAUUCAUAUGUGCCUCAUUGAGCAAAUCUUUAAUGAGGAUCUAUAUGCCAGAUAAUGUAGGCAUUGUUCCUAAGUCAUGCAGAGGGGUUGUGUAAGCAUGGUCAUUUGCAUCAUUAUCCUGCACGUCUGAUACAGCCAAACUCCACGCCACCUGGUUUGCUCAAUAUCUUUUGCUUGGGAGCAGAAACAGAAAGUACAUGAUGGACUUCAUUGAAGGAUGGAGAUUUGGAAGACAUGAAUGGAUGAAGAACCAAGUGCGUGAGGGCACCUAUCAGGAUUAUUGCUGAAAUCCUUAUGGAGUUAACUGGCUGAGAGGAAGGCAAGCAAGCGAGGACUGAUGGGCCCUUGGCACUGUGAGAACAGUGGAGGAGGAGGGAGCAGGGUUCAUAAGGAGGAGCACAAACAGAAAGUUCAGUGGCCCCAAUAAAAAUAACACCAGAAUCUUCCAGAUACUUUCUCCAUAAGGCGAAAAGAGAUGGGGUUUCACCAUGUUGCCCAGGCUGGUCUCAAACUCCUGAGCUCAGGCCAUCUGCCCGCCUCGGCCUCCCAAAGUGCUAGGAUUACAGAAGGUGCCUGCUUCCCCUUCACCUUCCACCAUGAUUGUAAGUUUCCUGAGGCCUCCCCAGACAUGUGGAACUAACAGGUUUCUCUUAUUGCCUGGAUCCAAGAGCAUCUCCUGGGUUCUUCCUGUUAGAAUACUGAAUGUCCAUGGAGAGUUUAACAUAAGGAAGAAGAGGCCUGUCUCCCAGCUGAAACUGGUGCAGCAGAUCAUGCAAAGUAAAACCUCAGCAGCUGUGAUGAAGUAGAGCAGAGGGCCUGGGUGUCUGUCAGCUCCAAGCGGAAGAUUUCCCCAGCUUUCUAGGUAACUGUGCUUCCACUGAGCAAGCCAGACACAGACUUGAAUGUCAUCACAAUCUGUGCCUGUGACAUCUUUCCCCAAGAAUAGCACAAAUUGAACUUUUACAUUCUUCAUAAUAUGGAAGGAAAGAUUUCUGACUUCAUAUCUGUGGGAUCCACACAAUGGGGAGGUACUGGCCUUGGAAUCCAUGGUUCCCCAGCUAUCAUUUUACUUUAGAAUUACAGUGUUCUCUGUUAGUGUCAAGGGAAUGAACCUGACGAGAAAAGACCAAACAUAGGACUGUUACAGGGAAGAAAAAUAUGAAAAGACCUAAAGAUGCACGUCCUCAUUAUAUGUAAGGAAUCUAUUUCCUAGAAUCCUAUAAAAAGCUCAAGUGAAUUUGCUUCAGUUAAUAAAUGUGAUUUAAUUAUAAUGAUAAUGCCA